CGAGCCCUGAUCGUCGUCCCCUUCGCCGAAGGUUUGUGCCGCUCUUUUCCAAUCUUCACAUUCAUGUGAUCGAUCCCUUCACACCCCCAGUGGCCAUCAUACAGUGAACAAGGCAAUUGCAGAGCCGGCAGAUGUCUGAGAGUGACCCUGUAGACAAAUAAUCGAGACCGGCCCACGUGUUUCCCUGCUGUAAACU